GAGAUGGAGCGCACAACCUGCAUGCAAGAAAGAGAAGCAACUCACUUAACGCAGGAACAGUGUGAAACUAAGGAAAAAGCAUCAAACACCCAUAGCAAACGUCUCGCAAAGCAGCUAGCAUAAACUUAAAAGGCAUGAAUAUGUUUUCACAAUUCAACCGGCAGCAAAUGGCAUAAAUAAUACAAAACAGCAGCGACUCAUCUAUAAAGAAAUAACAAAGAACAGUUCAAGGAACAAUGACAUAUGCAAUGAGCAAAAAAAAAAAAAAA
rnacentral:lncRNA from 1 species